ACUAGUCAAGAACUCAACAGAUAAUUUUUUUUCAGGUUCUCUGAUUGUAAGUACCUGUUGGCCACACACAUGAAUACUCUCAUUGAUCCUGCAUUCAGCUAAAUAUCAGAAAAAUUAAGAACAAAGGAAAAUAUGCUGAAACUGUACAGUCACUGACCAGUCAGGAUUAUUUCAGAAGUGCAAUUAUAAUACAAUAUAUGUUACUGGUUAAUUCCUAUGAUUUGUAAAUUUAAACAACACACAGAGGCUUUGCAUUAUUGUUUUACAAGAAAGACACCAAAAGAUGCAGUCAACAUUUAUCAUUUUUAUCAAAAUACGCCCAGGACAAACCAUGGGUACACUUAGCUUGAAAGAUGGUGCUUUCAUACCAAAAUUUCCUGGAAGUAAAAGAAAUAAAGAACCAAAAUUCAUGUCAGCAAUCAGGGGAUAAGAUGAAAGAAUACAGAAUAAGGUACUGUCAUGUUCAGUCUUUAUAAGAGUCCUGAUGCUCUAUAUAUAUACAAAUGUAUAUGCAUUUUGUUAUGCCCCGUCAUAGUGGUGGGGCAUUUAGUUUUAUCCUUGUAUGUUUGUACAUAAUAUUAGAUUUAAGAAGAUGUGGUAUGACUCCCAAUGAGACAACUCUCCAUCCAAGUCACAAUUUGUAAAAGAAAAACCAUUAUAAAUAGGUCAAAGUACAGUCUUCAACACAUGUACAGAGCCUUGGAUCACACCCAACAGUAAGCUAUUAUUAAUUUAAGGACCCAAAAAAUUAUUAGUGUGCAACCAGCUUUCAAACAUUAAACCAAAGGUUUAUUCUAUAUGAAAAAAAGAAAAGAGAAACACUUAUAGUGCAUGAUUUUCUCACUGUGUUGAAGACCCAUUGGUGGACUUUGGUUGUUGUCUGCACUUUGGUCGGGUUGUUGACAUAUAUUCCCAGCAUUUCCAUUCUCAAUUUUAUUAAGAAGUUAUUGAACUUUAUUCUUUGAAAAUGUGAUGGAGGUAUCAUGUGCACAUGGCGCAUCUGUUUAUUUGUUUUAGUUCACUAUAAACUUAAGUUUGCUUAACCAAAUGUACUGAAACUUAUACACAAUGCUUAUAACCACAAAACUCAGAUCAAGUACUCAUUUGGGUACUGUGUGUCACUUUUGACCCCUUAAAAUGUUAUAUGCAAGCAGGGGCAUAAUCUGUGUCCCAUGGACCCAUUCACCAUUUAUUUAUUCACAGAAUUUUGAAAGGAAUAAAUAAUCCAUGAUGUUCAUAUAGAUAAAACAUAUUGUAACGUUUCAAGAAUUUUUAUCUGUUUAUUACAGAUCAUGAUUGCCAAUGAGACAACUAUCCACCAAAGUUUGAAUAAAGUGGAUAUAAGCAGUUUUAGGUAACUGUACACCCUUAUGAAUGAUAAAAACCUGUACUGUAUAUAUUGUCCGCUAUAAAAGGUCCCGUAACAAGAAAAAAUAUGAACAAAAACAUUUGAGAAAACUAACGGCCUAAUUUAUAUAAUUUAUAACAAAACAAGUAGCAAAAAUCAAAUGUAUAACAUAAGUAAACCAACGACUUCUAUGGAAUUUCUGGCUCCUGACUUGGGACAGGCACACAAAGAAUGUGGCAGGUUAAACAAAUUUUUGGUUGCUCAACCCUCCCCUAACCUGGGACAGUGGUGUUACAGCACAACAUAAGAACAAACUAUAAAAAUCAGUUGAAAAGGUUUUAUCAUAUUUGUAUCUAUAGGUCAACUGUCUUGAAAUGAUCAACAAGUGAUUGUAGAAUUGAAUAACCAAAAACACACAAACAUCUACUGUCAAUACCAAAUUCCCCAAAACAAAAGCUUUAAGGGGGAUCGCAGGCAUAAAACAAUUUUUGUUUUUAAACAUAGAAUUUUGCUAUUUUUUUUCUAGAAAUAAACUUUAUAUAUAUAUCCUAUACUUAAAUAGAAAAAUAAAAGUAUAGGGUCACCGUUCAUUAAAGCUCACAAUCUGCCUUCGAAAGAAGCAUGUAUUUUUUUGCUAAGUACCUUUUACUGUAGAACUAAAACAUGUAAUAGGACAAAAUGUAAGAGGAAAAAAAUGUAAUUUCAAAAUAUAAAGAACUAAAUUACAGAAAUUGCUUUAAAUUUUACAAUAGUUGAGUUUUAGUACAGCUUAUUUUGAGAAAAAAUAAUGAAAAAUAUAAGUCACCCAUGAGUUGAAAAAGAUGUUUCAAUUUUAAUGCCAAAAAAUGGCAUUUUUUCAUCUAAGGGAGAUAAUUUAGAGCUUUUUCAGUGGUAUGAACAUUUCAAAAAUCAUCUGGGGCCAAAACAAAUAGAUUUUUUGGUUGAUUUUUUUACCAUAUCAUAUAUUAACCUCUAAUAGUAUAAGAGAUAAAAUUUGUAAUGAAAAAAAAAAUGUUUAAAUUUUUGCUGAAUUUUUAUACCCUCAAACAUCCUUAAGAUACAACUUUAGGUGACAGGAAAUGUCUUGACUUAAGAAAGCCACAUGCAAACUCAAUGUUGCUCCCCUUGUAUAUCUCGAUUUGUGUUUUUAAAAAGAAAAAAAGUUAACAUAAAAGAAUGCAGGUUGUCAGGAACAUUCAAUUGGAGAAAGGGAAAAGAACACAACUUUACACUAAAUAAUUUUGAAAACUUAUUGCCUAUACUAUCUUUAUUGAUAACAGACUGAGCCAAAAACGUUUUCAUCUACUAGUACGGACACUAAAUAUCAAAACUUGUGCCUAUAUAACUAUAUAAAAUUUUAAUAAUAUAUACUAGUCCGAAUCAAUAUUUACUGGUCUGGGGCAUUGGACUAGUGGCUAACAGUGCAGACUGUGAUAAAAAAAAUUCAGAAACAUUAUGUACAUUAUGAUCAUUGUGAUUGUGUUAAACAUCAGACAAGGCAAUCAAAAUGGUCAGAGGGGGCAAAGAAGUUUUGUUAUAAAUGUCAAAUGGUUAUAGUCUCAACCUAUCAACAUGAUCAAAAUUGUUGAUUUCACAGUUAAUAUUUACUUUUAGCAUGUUCAGCGGAAUAGAAUGCUUUUGUUAUAUUUUAUUAAAUGUUAAUUUACUUUGUUCUUAUAGGCAGGAGUGAAAGGAAGAGAAAACAAGGCAUCAGUAAAGAAGCAGAUCAAUUUAUAUUGAUAUGUAAUAAUUCCA
rnacentral:lncRNA from 1 species